CUUGGAUCUCUCAUGACUUAUGAGCUGACCAUAGAAUAAUAUUCUGAAGAAGAGACUAGAAGAAAGAAGAUAAUUGCCAUCAAAUUAAUGGUUCAAGAAGAAGAAGAUUCAGAAAAAUCAAAAAAUAGUGAAGAUGAUGAGGAUUUAGCAUUGAUCACAAAAAAAUUCAGAUGAUUUAUGAAAAAAAGAAAAUAAAAGACCAAAAGAAGACCACU
rnacentral:lncRNA from 1 species